rnacentral:tRNA from 1 species
GUUGAGGUAGCCUAGCCUGGUCUAUGGCGUUAGACUGCUAAUCUAAUGAUGUAAUAUCCCAUGGGUUCAAAUCCCAUCCUCAACG